CCAGAUUUUGUUCUUCAUCCAUCUCUUCCUUCUUCUUCUUCUUCUUCAUCUUCUCUUUCACAUACCUACACAAACCCACUCACCCACCCUAGUUCUCUCUCUCUCUUUCUCUAUUUCGUUCGACCCACUAAAUUUCUCUGCAAAGUUCGAAUCUUUAGCAGAAGAAUUGCAAGACCCAGAAAAAAAAUCCCAAAUGGGUUCAACUAUGAUUCAAUAGUGAAGCUUUCGUGGUCGUUCAACAAUGGGGGUUUGCACUUCUAAGCAGGAUUGUGCAUGUAACGGAAAGCAUCAAUCCGAUGGCUGGAAGCUUUGACCAUGUGGCUGAAAGCUUCGAUCUGGUGGCCGCGCUGGGGCUCCAAACCCGCUCCGUCGCGAUAUCAAAUACCCAUGGCCUGCGGCGUCGUCAUCGAGGUACGACCUUCGCGAUCCAGAACCUCCAUCGCUCCAACACGAGACCACCGUCCUGGAGCCAGAACCUUCACGAUCCAAGCAUAGCCGUCGUCGCGUGACCACCAGAGGUGUCGCGCCGCCAACACCAUCGCAUCUUUCUCCUUCGAUCUGCAAUUCGCCACCAUCACCGUCGCAAUCGCCCCUUUCUCCUGCGAUCUGCAGUUUCCACUCUUUUUCUUCUGUUGUGGUUGGGCACAUACGAAUCCAAGAAUGGCUAACAAAGGGUCUAGAAGAAGAGCGUGGAGGACCUGCGCAGGGCACAGAGCGAGGCGAGGCGCUAUAUACAUAUGGCCUUGGACUUCAUUGCACAGAGUACACAUGCCGACAUGACAUAUAUCAGAGGAAGAGGAAGGUUUCUACCUCAUCCACCUCCACUUCAUAGUUUUUUUAUGAUGUUUUGGAUGAUAUUUUGGAUUCAAUGAUUGGUAAAUGUUAUGAUGUAAUAUUAUGAUCUUAGGAUAUUAUGAGCUUGUAAACAAAAAAAAAAAGGAAAUUGCACCGAGUUAACAUUACCAGGUUCUAAAA